rnacentral:rRNA from 1 species
UAAUACAGAGGGCUCAAGCGUUAAUCGGAAUCACUGGGCUUAAAGGGUCCGCAGGCGGAUUAGCAAGUGUCUUGUGAAAUACCAUCGCUCAACGAUGGAAUUGCUAGGCAAACUGCUAAUCUUGAACACGACAGGGGCUAUCGGAACUCUAGGUGGAGCGGUGAAAUGCGUAGAUAUCUAGAGGAACGCCAAAGGCGAAGGCAGAUAGCUGGGUCGUUGUUGACGCUCAGGGACGAAAGCGUGGGUAGCGAACGGGAUUAGAUACCCCGGUAGUCCACGCCCUAAACGAUGUACACUAGAUUGCGGAGGUUUUGACGCCAUCGCGGUCGAAGCAAAAGUAUUAAGUGUACCGCCUGGGGAGUACGGUCGCAAGGCUA